CAGCAGCCGCGGUAAUACAGAGGGUGCAAGCGUUAAUCGGAAUUACUGGGCGUAAAGCGCGCGUAGGUGGUUUGUUAAGUUGGAUGUGAAAUCCCCGGGCUCAACCUGGGAACUGCAUUUGAAACUGGCAGGCUAGAGUCUUGUAGAGGGGGGUAGAAUUCCAGGUGAAGCGGUGAAAUGCGUAGAGAUCGGGAGGAACAUCAGUGGCGAAGGCGGCCACCUGGGACAACACUGACGCUGAGGCACGAAAGCGUGGGGAGCAAACAGGAUUAGAUACCCCAGUAGUCCUGUCUCUUAUACA
rnacentral:rRNA from 1 species